UACAGAGGGGGCAAGCGUUGUUCGGAAUUACUGGGCGUAAAGGGCGCGUAGGCGGCCUGCUAAGUCGAACGUGAAAUCCCCGGGCUCAACCCGGGAACUGCGUCCGAUACUGACAGGCUUGAAUCCGGGAGAGGGAUGUGGAAUUCCUGGUGUAGCGGUGAAAUGCGCAGAUAUCAGGAGGAACACCGGUGGCGAAGGCGGGUCUCUGGGCAACAACUGACGCUGAGGAGCGAAAGCGUGGGGAGCAAACAGG
rnacentral:rRNA from 1 species